rnacentral:rRNA from 1 species
GGGCCCGCACAAGCGGAGGAACAUGUGGUUUAAUUCGAUGAUACGCGAGGAACCUUACCUGGGCUUAAAUGUAGGCUGCAUUCGGCUGAAAGGCUGAUUCCCUUCGGGGCUGCUUACAAGGUGCUGCAUGGUUGUCGUCAGCUCGUGCCGUGAGGUGUCGGGUUAAGUCCCAUAACGAGCGCAACCCUUAUCGUUAGUUGCCAGCGGGUUAAGCCGGGGACUCUAGCGAGACUGCCACCGUAAGGUGAGAGGAAGGUGGGGAUGACGUCAAAUCAGCACGGCCCUUAUGUCCAGGGCUACACACGUGUUACAAUGGCCGGUACAAAGGGCAGCUACUCCGCGAGGAGAUGCUAAUCUCGAAAGCCGGUCCCAGUUCGGAUUGGAGUCUGCAACCCGACUCCAUGAAGUUGGAUUCGCUAGUAAUCGCGCAUCAGCCAUGGCGCGGUGAAUACGUUCCCGGGCCUU